rnacentral:rRNA from 1 species
UGAGGAAUAUUGGUCAAUGGGCGGGAGCCUGAACCAGCCAAGCCGCGUGAGGGAGGAAGGCCCUAUGGGUCGUAAACCUCUUUUGUCAGGGAACAAAAGCGAGUAUGUAUACUAGUCUGAGUGUACCUGAAGAAAAAGCAUCGGCUAACUCCGUGCCAGCAGCCGCGGUAAUACGGAGGAUGCGAGCGUUAUCCGGAUUUAUUGGGUUUAAAGGGUGCGUAGGCGGCGGUGCAAGUCAGUGGUAAAAGCCCGGGGCUCAACCCCGGCGAGCCGUUGAAACUGCAGUGCUAGAGAAGGCGAGAGGUACGCGGAAUGCGCAGUGUAGCGGUGAAAUGCUUAGAUAUGCGCAGAACUCCGAUUGCGAAGGCAGCGUACUGGCGCCUGACUGACGCUGAGGCACGAAAGCGUGGGGAUCGAACAGGAUUAGAUACC